rnacentral:rRNA from 1 species
CGAAUACUUUGGUUGGCGACCGGCGCACGGGUGCGUAACGCGUAUGCAACCUACCCUUUAACGGGGCGAUAACACUGAGAAAUUGGUACUAAUUCCCCAUAACAUUCGAGAAGGCAUCUUCUUGGGUUAAAAACUCCGGUGGUUAAAGAUGGGCAUGCGUUGUAUUAGCUAGUUGGUGAGGUAACGGCUCACCAAGGCAACGAUACAUAGGGGGACUGAGAGGUUAACCCCCCACAUUGGUACUGAGACACGGACCAA